AAGGGACAAGAGACACAGAAGGAUGACAGCAAGACAGGAGUUCUGAUCAAGCUGCAAACUUUUAUUGUUCACACAGGGGUAUUUGUACGCUGGGGAUGGGGAAGCUCUCUUAUCUGCAGUUGCUGGAUGUCUGCACAAGGUGAGAUAACCGCAGGAUGUUUCAGGAAGAUAGGUGGCCACAGGAUGUCUCAGGGAGAUAGAUGGCUGCAGGGUGUCUCCCAGGCAGGAUGUCUCCCAGGGGGCUGUUUCUUGUAAGUGUCAGGCUAUUAUUUGAAGGAGAACUCCCUUCUAGUCCCUGGCAUCUCCCCCUUACUUAUAUAAAAUAUUUGACCAUACCUUAUCAGCCUGUGUCUAAUAGAGAAAUCUUUAAUUCUGUUACUUAGGGCUGGAUAACCAUACUAGCAAACAUUAGGCCUACCUGUGUAGGUUAGAAAUAAAGGCCUUAAACUAAAAACUAUUCUGGCAGUCCCUUUUGAUGGUUAUCAGGCAUUCCUGUCUGAGAAUCUCUUUUGCAGCCUCCAGUUUACUUAUUCUUGGAAGUUACAUUUAACUAUUAUUAUCAUUUAAAAUGCCCAGGAAUAGUAGUGUUUUGGCUUUGACUGUCUUUGCUAAGUGUUUAAGAUGAAGCAAGUCAAACUGACUUUUGUUUCUAUCUAUUGUUAACAGUCAGCUGAGUUUCCCUGGGAGUCCUCGGGGAACUUACAGCAGCUUUUCAGUUCUGCUAGUGCCAUUUGCGCUAGGAUGGGUCCAGGCAUUGCUUGACCAUAUGGCUUCCCUCGGAAGCAUCAGGGAUGUCUCCCUUUUCUGAUGACCCUCCUCUUCACAGCAAAUGCACUGAUUGGCUUUCUGUCCUCCACUGGUCUCAUUAAUCUCCCUGUUCAGGAGGUUAUGUGGCCUAGAGUUGCAGAGCUCUUUGGAGAAGUCCCCUAUUCCCUGACUCAGACUGACUCUGAGGGCAAGAGCCAAAUAUUGGUUUUCUUGGCCCUUUUAAUUUAACUUUAAUUUUAGAACUUAAUCUUAAACAUUCAGCAAAUAAGUUUUAAUAGCCUUAUAUAAAAAGUACUGGGCUUUAAUGUCUAUCUCUCUAUCCUGAAGAUGAUAACCCCUUAUCUUAAAUUAACCCAGGUUGUGUGUUCUUAAAUCAGUACCUCUGCAAAACAUUAACAAGCAAUCCUUAGACCACCUAUAAGCAAACUACAAACUAAAAUUAACUAGGGUAAAAACAUAUUUAGUUUAUAUAAUAGCUACCUCGAAUUUUGGCAGGGUUAUACAUUAUAAUCCCCUGUUUGAGAUCCUAGUAAUCUUGGCAAAAACCAACUUUUGGACACAACUUUAAAUGUACUGAAAUCUGGCCUACUUCUUUCAUAGUCUCAGGCUCUUUGUAAAUCUUAAGUACUAUAGUUCUGAAGCUGAUCUUUGCUUUUUAGACAUCAUUUUACAAAGCUUACAUAAAUUGUUGUUCAAGUUUACAUGAAUAUUAGCUAACACAACAUAAUAUCACAUCUGAAACAUGAAUUAAAGGCUGAAAACUUUUAAACUUUUAUAGAAAAGUAGCAAAGUACUUUUGUGUUUUACAAUAAAACCUUCACACAGAUUAGGCUCUCAUUAACUUAAAAAUACAUUUAAAUUGUAUCUCAGUGUAGAAGUAACAUGGAACUUUACAUAUCUUAUUGAUAACAAGUCCAGUUAUAGAACACAAAUGAUAUAAAUAAAUCUCCAACAUGUUUUUCUUUUAAGCCUAAAAUUACCAUACAACUUCAGAACACCAGCUUGAUAUAAUGCUCUUUUGAAGCUUCUACCUUACAGACUUGUAUACCUGGAAGAUAUGAAUUAAUAGCACCAUAAUUACAUUGAUGAUUUUAUAUUAACCAAGUUUAACUCUUAAAGAAAUAAUCAUUACAAUAUUGAAAAAUAAUAGUUGUUGUAUAACCAUAGUUGUAUAAUUUUUAAUUUCUUUAAGAUUACUUGUUCAAAAACUUACACAUAUAACCAAUUUACACAGACCUUUUUUAUCACUUACUUAAACCCUUUUGUUAACUUGAUCAUAUAGACUUUUUUAUCCAGAAACACAUUUUCCCUCUAUUAAAUCCAUAUCUAGAACUUUUUAGUUUUUCUUUUCCAUCUGUUAACCUUCUUUUUUAUUCACAUUUUGAAACAAUACUUGUAAAUUUCUGAAUUUAAGCAAUUAUUUCAUAGACAUCAACAUUUUAUUACGUUUUAUUUUUGAACACCUAGAAAAACUUAUAAGCUUAAUUUUAAAGACAUCUUUACUUUUAUCUGUUUACCCAAUUUAAAUUGAACCAUUUGAAUCACGUGAAUCAAAGAUAUUUGGAUCUGUUUUUUUUUUUUUCUGAGCGCUCCUCGUAUAUCUGCCAAUUGUCAUAUAACUGCAUGAUAUAUGGACAUAUACACAUAUAGACAUACUGACAUACAACACAUAACACAAAUGUAACACAUACACAAGGCCUUGUAGCUGUUUUUUUUUUUUCAGGUGAAAUCUCCAUUGCAAUGUUUAAAAACUCCACAGUUGAUCAAAAAUAAAACUGAUCAGAAAACAUUAACUUGCCUAUAGGAUAAAAAAAAUACAGAAUCUAAGAAAAGCAAGAGUCCUAAAAAGAUGACUGGCCAGUAAUUAGUAUAUAAGUAUAUAUACCAUACAAUUUACUUUUUGGUUUGGUCUUGUUUGAGUUCAGGUAAAAAGACACUUUUAAGAAAGGGGCAUCUGUGGGGAUGUAAACUUAAGAAAUAAGCCUGUGAGAAGGGUAGAACAUCCUUUUAAAUGUUGGCAGCACGGUCUUCCAUCUCCAGAUGAUGAUAGUGAACCUGUAUGGGCUUAGAGGCCAAAAUAUUAAUCUGUUCUUUAAUAAAUUGUACCAGCCUGUUUAUAAUGCAGGGUCCUAUGGACACCAUUAAAAGUAAAUCCAACAAAGGGCCUAAUAGUGGAAGAAGGUAGGGUAGAAAUCCAUUAAGCCCAGUCCAGAGGGGAUUUUCAAAUAGUUCCCUUCAUCUCUUUUCUAAAUCUUCUUGAAGCUGCUUAAUUUUUGUGCGUACUAUGCCUGAUUUAUUGGCAUAAAAGCAGCAUCUUUCCCCUAAGGCCAAGCAAAUACCUCCCUGGUUAGCUGUCAGCAAAUCUAAGCCUCGUCUGUUUUGAAGGACCACUUCUGCCAGGGAGUCUAUUUGGUCCUGUAAAUCUUUAAUGGUUCCUGAUAGAGUUUGUACAUCCUCUAUAAGUUUUUGAGAUAGGCGAUGGUAAGAGUGUAUAGCCGUGCCUAAGCCAGCGGUACCUGUGCCCACAGCAGCUGUUAUUCCAAGGCUGGCAAGGAGUGGUAAGGCCUGUAUUGCCUGCCUGUGUCUUUUGACUAAAGUGUCUAGGCUAGGAAUGGGUAGAGGUUCAUCUCCUGGGACAAUAGUUAUAUCAGGGAGUAAUAAGGCAAGAACAGAGCCACCGGUCCAAUACGUUGGAAGCCUGGGGAAGGCUGAGUUUCCUCCACACAUAAAAACUGUGCCAUUGGGGGGACAAAGAGAUGGGGUGGGUGAGGAAUAAUUGUUUACUGUUGAGCAAUUUCCAAAGGAAGUAACUCCAACAUCAAUACCAUAGGUAUUAUUCUGCAUCGCGCCUAAAAGACAUGAUGUAAAAAUGCCUAUAGGCUGUACUUUAAAAGGAAAUCCGGAUUGGCAUGUAUUAUCAUUGUCUAUAAUAGAAUUAAUAGGAACUGCCAUAGGCAUGAUUGCCCCUGUUUUCAUGCAGAGCCAGCAAUCACCAGCAAGGGUGGGGUUGGAAUUAUUAAGCAAGGAGAAGGUAGUUUCCAAAAUAUCUAAUGUAUUGGUAUCUAAAUCUGGGAGCUGGGAUUUAGGCAGCAUUAAGGGAUGAUAUGUGAGCUCAGGGAUUUGGGGUUUCAAAAGUUUGAUUAUCUGAAGAUGCUUGACAGCAUCAGUGGGUCCUCCACCAUCAGAGACCCCUGUAGGGGCCUUAAUGGGCCAGCAGGAGGGUUUACCGACAGUGCCUUGGCAUCCAGCUGACUGUAACUUGGUGUAUAUGCCUUCUCCUCCCUGGUCAAAGAGAACGGGAGUAUAGUGAAUAGUGGUCCCCUCUGCUGCAUGAGUUUUAGUUAGAGUGGCUUCAAAAAAUUGUUCUCCCUGCUUGUUAACACAAAUUGAGGCUGACACAUAACAAGAGACAUGCAUCGCCUGGGUAUGCGUGCAAGUUGCAGAACAAUUUUGGAGAGCUUUACUUGUACUGGGGGAAAUAAUCUUUGGCUUGUUAACACAUACCCAUUUAGGCUGAUGGUCAACCUCGGCAUGGAGGUAAGCCACCUUAGUCAAGCAGUCAGCAGUCUGGGUCCAACUAGUGGGAGCCUGAGUCCAAGAUCCUCCCUUGCAUUUGCAGGGGGCGCCAAAAAGGUACUCCAUGAUGUUGGAAGGUGGAGGGCCAAGGCCUCCGUGUACAAACCUGUUCAGCAGAAGUGCCUUAAGCAGGAUCCUCACACAGAUUGUUGGCUGCAUCUGCAAAAGAGGAAAAUUUGUCCUCAGGGGGAGGGCCUCCAUCCCUGGGUUGAGGUAAGUCAUUAACCUGUUUAACCAGGUGUUCUGGUAACCAUCUUGGGGCUGCUUGCUCUUGGUCCAAAACAGAAGCUGAGCCUCGUUCCCAGAUGAGGACAGGAUCUGGGCCUUUCCAUUUAUUUGUAAGGGGAUCGCGCCACAUAACAGGUGGGUGAACAGAUGCCAUUGUCUGUCUGCGGCCAAAUGGCCUUCACUGUCUAGGGUAAGAAAAUUAAGGGCAAAUAAUGCAUGGUUAAGGCGAUCCCAAAAUCUUUAUAUUUUAGAAUAUUAUCCUUUAAAUAGGUAUCUCUUAAUUGCCUUUAAAAAAAUAUGAUUAAGGUUAUUUCCUGUGUAGGGAGCAGUAUAUAAAUCUUACUGCAUUUUUUAUGGACAAUAGAUCUAGUCAGAGAACUUACAUAAUAACAAUGAAUUUUUAAAGUCUGUAACCUUUAUUGUUUAAAAUUAAUAUAUAACUUUAAUUUGGAGAACCUUAGUCUUAAUAAAAUGUUGUGUUUUUUUUUUUAAAUUUUAUGAUUAUCUAACAAACAAAAUAUGUAAAAAUUAGUAUCUCAGUGUCUUAGAAUCAAUUGAUUUUAGUCUCUAAGGACAAUUGUUAAAAUCGGAUUUAAGUUAGUAGUUCAAUAUACUUAAAUGUUUAAUCAACAAUGUGAAUUUAUUUACCAAAAUUAAUCUUUGUCUUAAACAGUAAGAAUUAUUAGGCAAUAAGGAUCUUUCUUUAAAGAAAUAAACUUACAUUUUAAUAGGUGCUUAUCAUGUCAAAAUAUGGACAAAAUCUUAGCUCACAUUAGUAUAGUUAAACUAGGAAAAAUAGCCUGAAAUACCCUUAAAUUAAUUAUAGUCAGUUUAGUAUAUAUAAAUCUCUUUUUUUUUAAUCGUUCUAACUUUUUACAUCAUUUGUUUAGAUAACAAUAUAAAAAUCUGUUGUUUAGAUAACAAUAUAAAAAAAACCCUAAGUAAAACUUAGGAAAAUACUUUUAUCAUUGAAAUAUGAAUAUAAAGACCUUGUUUUACCCAAAGAUGAUUUCUUUUUUCUUUUUAGGAUCCAUGUGUGCUUUUUCUUUGUUGAAGCAUCUUUUUCUUUUAGAAAAAUUUUUUUUUUUUUUUGGUUAUACUUGGAACAAUUUCUGAAAACCUUAGAAUCUAUAAACAAAUUAUUGUACUUUGAUAAGAAAUAUCAAUGAAAAUAUAGUUAAAAUCCUUAGAUAUUUUGUAGACAUAAUUAUAAUUAUUUAUCAUCUUAUGAGUUUGAACAAUAACUUUGACAAUUAGAAACUACUUGAAGAUUGUAUUUUCACUUAAAAGCACAUUUAUCUCAAAUAUCUGUAACUGAAAAGGCAGAGUAUCUGAUAAAUGUAAAUAUAAAACAUAAUUUAUGGGUUUUCUGUUGAAGAAAAACAAUUAGGCAAAUAUAUAUUAACUAAUUAAUUAGGCAUGUGCUAAUUAUUUUAUAGAUUAACAAAUAUAGGUUAUCUAAAUAUCUUAAAAUAUAUAUAUUAAGAAUAAGAACAUAACUUAAAUUGUAUUAAUUUUAUGUAACCACAUGGUCUUAAAAUAUUUGGAUCUAUUUUAAUUUAUUUUUAACUAGGAGUGCACUCUUCUAUGUGACAUCACUUGAUGUAACUGAAAUAAAAUCCUUGUUGAGUAUACAUAUUUAUUUUUUAUAGUUAGGAAUGAGAAUAAGGAUUUUUUGAUCAUCACAGGAACAUUGCCGGCUUUGUUCCUGUGGCGAGCAAAUGCAUCCUUAUAACCUCCAAAAUUAAGAGUAAAAUAUAAAGAAGCAUGUUUGAUAUCUCUCAUCAAUAGAACAUUAUUUAGUAACACAACUAUAGAGAAAAGUCAGGUUAUUUAACUCAGAACUAACUUAAAUUUAGGGCUGCAACAUAGAAAGCUGUGGAAUUAAAUUUUGUCUGAAAAAGAUAUCUUUCGUUAGCAUUUACAGGUAGGCAUUCUUAAAAAUAUAGGCUCUGAACAGCUCCGGUAGAAAUCUGAAACACAGUAGUACAGAUUAGUGGCUGGAAGGCGGGACUAGAAGUCCUGUCUGAGUGACUGUGGAAGAACAAAUCGGAAGCCCACGAAAGUGUGGAAGGUGGGACCAGGAAGCCUGCUCUUCCGGCCAGUCACCCCAUGGUUACCAUGGUGAUGCAAACAACAUGGAGUCCGCUGCCCAUUUUCGGGGCAAAAGUUCCCCAAGUUUUCCUAGCCAAUUGCAUUUUGUUUGAUUUUGUCUGCAUUUUCCCCCGCCUGGCCAAGAUCUUACCGCGGUAGCAGCUUGUUCUGUCUCUGCAACCUGCGGUUGCAGCUUGUGUACAUCCUGCACUUUUUUCUGUGACACGUGGGUGCUCCAAAGGUUUUUUAGUAGCAAACGCUGGCAUUACCAUCAGAUCUUAAGUUAGUCUGUGUUUGGCAUUUAGGUCAAGUAAUUCAAGGAUUAAAAGUACUGUUGGCCGCAGGGGCUAGGACCCCAUAGCGAGCAGCAGCGGCUAAAGUCUCUUGUCCCCAGCUGCUGAGUUAUAGCCAUUCUGAUUCAUAGGACAACCAUGUAGUAAAAAGGUCCGUACAUACUUUCUGAGUAUUGACAAAAACAAUAGAAAAUUGAAACUUAUUUCUCUCUAGGUAAACAUCACAUUUUCUCUCCCUUUUUCUCACUCUCCUAGUGCAAACUUCUAGAACAUAAAGGCCAAAAAAUAUCUCUUUUUUUUAAAGCUUUUUUUUUUUUAAUUAAUUAGUUUCCAGUAAGAAAAGGUGGGAACAGGCACCUUUUCUGGGCCAAAGGAUUCAUAAUAAUCUUUUAAACAGUCUCCAACUCUAAGCCAUCUUUUACCAUCAAUGAUCCCUUCAAGGGGAAACCAUGGACACAAUUCUCCUAUGUAUGAAAAGAAUAAUCUUAAGUCCUUUUUCUUAACACGUGCCCCCCGUGUCUUGAGGGCUUCCUUGAGGCCUGACAAAAACAACUCAUGUGACGAAACUGCUUGUCCCAUGGUGGGUCACUCACCUCCUGGAUCUGUCUCUCGGUCGUGUCUGCCGAUGCGAUCGCGAGCUCCCGCUUGGCCAAGUCUUCCCGGAAGACCGUGUUCACCCUCAGUCAAAGGCUCGAGCCCCACACUGGGCGCCAAAUGUCCCGACCAGAAGGACACAUCAAUGUGGGCCUUGAACCUAGGUGGGGAGGAAUGAAGGGACAAGAGACACAGAAGGAUGACAGCAAGACAGGAGUUCUGAUCAAGCUGCAAACUUUUAUUGUUCACACAGGGGUAUUUGUACGCUGGGGAUGGGGAAGCUCUCUUAUCUGCAGUUGCUGGAUGUCUGCACAAGGUGAGAUAACCGCAGGAUGUUUCAGGAAGAUAGGUGGCCGCAGGAUGUCUCAGGGAGAUAGAUGGCUGCAGGGUGUCUCCCAGGCAGGAUGUCUCCCAGGGGGCUGUUUCUUGUAAGUGUCAGGCUAUUCUUUGAAGAAGAACUCCCUUCUAGUCCCUGGCAGCCCAGGAACAGCUGUGUUUUGGCUUUAACUGUCUUUGCUAAGUGUUUAAGAUGAAGCAAGUCAAACUGACUUUUGUUUUUACCUAUUGUUAACAGUCAGCUGAGUUUCCCUGGGAGUCCUCGGGGAAUUUACAGCAGCUUCUCAGUUCUGCUAGUGCCAUUUGCGCUAGGAUAGGUCCAGGCCUUGCUUGACCAUGUGGCUUCCCUUGGAAGCAUCAGGGAUGUUUCCCCUUUCUGAUGACCCUCCUCUUCACAGCAAAUGCACCGAUUGGCCUUCUGUCCUCCACUGGUCUCAUUAAUCUCCCUGAUCAGGAGUGGCCUAGAGUUGCAGAGCCCUUUGGAGAAGUCCCCUAUUCCCUGAUUCAGACUGACUCUGAGGGCAAGAGCCAAAUAUUGGUUUUCUUGGCCCUUUUAAUUUAACUAAUUUUAAAAACUUGAUCUUAAACAUCCAGCAAAUAAGAUAACAGCCUUAUAUUGAGAGCACUGGGCUUUAAUGUCUAUCUCUCUAUCCUGUAGGUGAUAACUCCUUAUCUUAAGUUGACCCAGGUUGUGAGUUCUUAAAGCAGUACCUCUUUAAAACAUUAACAGGCAAUCCUUAAACCAUCUAUAAGCAAACUACAAAACAAAACUAACUAGGGUAAAAACAUAUUUAGCUUAUAUAAUAGCUACCUUGAAUUCUGGCAGGGUUAUACAUCAUAAUUCCCUGUUUGAGAUCCUGGUAAUCGUGACAAAAACCAACUUUUGGACACAACUUUAAAUGUACUGAAAUCUGGCCUACUUCUUUCAUAGUCACUUUCACAUGUAGUGAGAUGGGACAGAGCCUUAUCUCAAGUAAGGCAGGGCUCUUUAUAAAUCUCAAGUACUAUAGUUCUGAAGCUGAUCAUUUUACAAAGUUUACAUAAAUUGUUGUUCAAGUUUACAUGAACAUUAGCUAACACAACAUAAUAUCACACCUAAAACAUGAAUUAAAGGCUGAAAGCUUUUAACCUCUUGUAGAAAAGUAGUAAUGUACUUUUGUGUUUUGCAAUAAAACCUUCACACAGAUUAGGCUCUCAUUAACUUAAAAAUACAUUUAAAUUGUAUCUCAGUGUAAAAAGUAACAUAGAACUUUACAUAUCUUAUUGAUAACAAGUCCAGUUAUAGAACACAAAUGAUAUAAAUAAAUCUCCAACAUGUUUUUUUCUUUUUAAGCCUAAAAUUACCAUACAACUUUAGAACACCAGCUUGAUAUAAUGUUCUUUUGAAGCUUCUACCUUACAGACUUGUAUACCUGGAAGAUAUGAACACAUUAAUAGCACCAUAAUUACAUUGAUGUUUUUAUAUUAACCGAGGUUAGCUUUUAAAGUAACAACAUUACAAUAUUGAAAAAUAACAGCUGUUGUUUAACCAUAGUUGUAUAAUCUUUAAUUUCUUUAAGAUUAUUUGCUCAAAAACUUACACACAUAACCAACUUACACAAACCUUUUUUAUCACUUACUUAAACCUUCUUAAUUACUUAAUCACAUAGACUCUCUUAUCCA
rnacentral:lncRNA from 1 species